CAUCUUUGUUGUUUUUUAACUUUAACUUGCAUUAAAAAACAUUGAAAUCCUUGAACCUGUGUGUGGCCUCCUGUGACAUUCAGCUGAGCUGAUCUGUGACAAGAAGCCUGUGUCAUUUCUGCUGGUUAAAUAAAGCGGCUGAGGGCGAGGAGCCCGAGCAGCAGACAGGCGGAGGCUGUCGCUGCUGCUGGGGCAGAAUUACACAGACUGGUCCCACAGCAGGUGAUGUUGGAGACGGUUUGGACCACGGGCAGAGUGAAGCUGGAGGCUGCUGCACACAGGGUUGAAGACACGCAGCCCAGAGUCAGAGACGUGGACGCUCCGAUCGUCACUGGGACAGGAUGGAGUCAUGAGUCAAUAUUAGUACAUUUACUAUAUGAGCUGCUUUAACUUUCAUAUUAUCAUAAAUGUAAUCUUUGUGAAUGAUCAGUUUUUUUCCAUUUCUUUGCUCUAAGUCCAUCACUGUUACUGAUGUUCAGCUCAGGAUGAAGCAGUUGCCGUCGGUGAAGUCACAGGAGAAGCACUGAAAGCUGUUUGGUGCCUGAGCUCCAGGGACUGAACGAGGACAGACGCCAUGAAUUGAGUGAAGGGUGAGGGUGUGAGAGCACGGUGCCAGAGGAGCACUCACGGCUCGG